GAUGAACGCUGGCGGCGUGCCUAGUACAUGCAAGUCGAGCGAACGGACGAGAAGCUUGCUUCUCUGAUGUUAGCGGCGGACGGGUGAGUAACACGUGGAUAACCUACCUAUAAGACUGGGAUAACUUCGGGAAACCGGAGCUAAUACCGGAUAAUCUUUUGAACCGCAUGGUUCAAAGGUGAAAGACGGUCUUGCUGUCACUUAUAGAUGGUUCCGCGCUGCAUUAGCUAGUUGGUAAGGUAACGGCUUACCAAGGCAACGAUGCAUAGCCGACCUGAGAGGGUGAUCGGCCACACUGGAACUGAGACACGGUCCAGACUCCUACGGGAGGCAGCAGUAGGGAAUCGUCCGCAAUGGGCGAAAGCCUGACGGAGCAACGCCGCGUGAGUGAUGAAGGUCUUCGGAUCGUAAAACUCUGUUAUUAGGGAAGAACAUAUGUGUAAGUAAAUGUGCACAGCUUGACGGUACCUAAUCAGAAAGCCACGGCUAACUACGUG
rnacentral:rRNA from 1 species